AGGGGCCGCCCGGAUGGACCUCUAUCCGGACCGGGGUUCUGGUGUACUUCCCCGACAUCAGAGCGCCGGCCCGGGUGGGGCUCCAUGCGGACGACCCGCGGGG
rfam:Turicella otitidis ATCC 51513 genomic scaffold supercont1.1, whole genome shotgun sequence.